UGACCUCGAAUCAGUAG
rnacentral:rRNA from 1 species